GUAAGAGGGCAAAAACCUGGUGCAGACUCUCAGGUCAGAUGGUGAGGGCUGAUUGCGGGAGGUGGACAAGAAGUCUGGCCUAAUGACUAAGGACAGCUAACGCCUAACUCCGUUCCUCAUCACUCCACCUGGGUAAGAGCAUUUGGUGCAACGAGCCAGUUUCGAGCCUGUGAAGGACCGUGGGGCAAGGUGACCGAUGCCGCUACCUCUUUGUCAUUCAGUAGCCCUCUUUACCUGUUUUGGCCUCGCUGCUAGGGCUGUCGCCGAGCUUACACGGACUCCAGGUGAUGAGUUUUUCUUGAGUCACUGCAAAGGCAGUUUCACUAGGCUUCACUUUUCUUUCUCGCGGUUUUCGGCCAGGUCUCUCCUGAGACACUCCUAUCUCCCGGUCCCGACACCAGCACCAAGCGCUCAGGUAAACGUCCCAAGUAAGACAAAGGCAAUCUACAUCAGGGCCUGCUAGCGGCGUGAAGGAGGGAGGGACUCAGAGCAUCAAAGUCAGUCCACAACGGGCGGGGUUCAGUUAAAUUGUGUCUCCAGCGAUCUAUUAGACCCGUCCUCUUCAAUAUGGCGCAUUGAACCCGGCUGACAAAAAAAAAAAAAAAAAAAAAAAAAAAAGGAGAGAGAGAAAGAGACCGCCCAGCCAGCUGCGCAGGCUCCCACCAUCCCCAGCGCCGCGACCUGCGACCCUCCAAGACCCCACCCCCGCCAAGCCCCGCCCCUAGGGCCUCCCCUGCUCUGAUUUACGUCUUCCUCUCUUUGCUAACGGUUGCUGUUUCUACUUUUCUUCCCCUUUUCUACUCUUUCUAUACCCAGAAGCAGCGGAACUGGCAACACCUUGGUGCCCUAGACGGAAACCUCAGUCCCGACUGAAGCGUAUUCAUCACCAACACUGGGAUAGCUGCAGCUAGGGCCACACAAUAAAAAUAGCCCAGGACGGCACUGGCUAUCCGCUGCCCCUUCAGCUAUAGAAUUCCUGUCCUUAAUCGCUUUUAGUUCUGUAACUGCUUGUGGAAACAGCUGAUUACUGGACAGGUGGGAGUACGAAAGGCGUUUAGUAAGACUGCAAAUCUGAUGUGAACUGGUAGGACGCAGAGUGUAUGGCAUAGUCAAGAAAGAAGUCAACGCCAGGCGAGGUGCUAUGGCUAAGGGAUUAAUCUUUUGUGUCCCAACUAUGUUGCUCUGACGGUUCCACUUGCACUACUGGUUUUUACUUCAUCGUUAAUCUCUGCUCUGGCCGAUAACAGCCUGCAUGAAAACAUCACCAGUUUUCAAGUUUUUCUCAGGAUGAACAGUACAUAGAAAAGUGAGCCUGAAUGCUGAGAUCCUGAGACCGUGCUGCGGCGCCUGGGAAUUCAUAGAGCAGCUUUUAAGGGGCCACCACUUCUCGCAUCGUGUGCCAUGCAAGUAAACCUACCCUAUCCUGAGACCCUUGCCUGGGGUGACUGGAAGAGCUGCUUCUGUAGAAUCCUGGGCCAGACCAUCUAUCUGGACGAAUAGGAGAAAAGCCUAGUUGUUGUCUCCUGCAAGAUGUAUUCAGUUGUAAUUUCGCCUUUGUUCCUUAAUCUGUUAGUAUGGUAUAUUACAUCGAUUAAUAUUUCAUAUUAAAUCAGUCAUGAAUUCCCA